UGAGUAACGCGUGGGAACAUACCUUUUGGUUCGGAACAACCCAGGGAAACUUGGGCUAAUACCGGAUAAGCCCUUACGGGGAAAGAUUUAUCGCCGAAAGAUUGGCCCGCGUCUGAUUAGCUAGUUGGUGAGGUAAUGGCUCACCAAGGCGACGAUCAGUAGCUGGUCUGAGAGGAUGAUCAGCCACAUUGGGACUGAGACACGGCCCAAACUCCUACGGGAGGCAGCAGUGGGGAAUAUUGGACAAUGGGCGCAAGCCUGAUCCAGCCAUGCCGCGUGAGUGAUGAAGGCCCUAGGGUUGUAAAGCUCUUUUGUGCGGGAAGAUAAUGACGGUACCGCAAGAAUAAGCCCCGGCUAACUUCGUGCCAGCAGCCGCGGUAAUACGAAGGGGGCUAGCGUUGCUCGGAAUCACUGGGCGUAAAGGGUGCGUAGGCGGGUCUUUAAGUCAGGGGUGAAAUCCUGGAGCUCAACUCCAGAACUGCCUUUGAUACUGAAGAUCUUGAGUUCGGGAGAGGUGAGUGGAACUGCGAGUGUAGAGGUGAAAUUCGUAGAUAUUCGCAAGAACACCAGUGGCGAAGGCGGCUCACUGGCCCGAUACUGACGCU
rnacentral:rRNA from 1 species